GCGGACGCUCCCUGGGGAUCUCCGGGUCCCCCCGCGGCCUGCUGGCGAUCGAAGCCCUGUGGGGGAGAGCGGGGGUGGCUGGAGCACCAGGGAGAGCAGUCGUGUGGGCCCGAAGGCGGCAGGGUUGUAAGGCUUCGCUUUGUAUUCACCUCCACAUCUUCCUUGUGAGCUUUUUAUGGUUUUUUCCUCCCUUAAAAACUUGUACACCAAGUAUUUCUUCCUGUACGUGCUUUUAGGGUGCUUUCUCUUCAGUGUUGUGUAUAUUGUCAGGAAUAUUUUAUCAGUUUUUCGUAGUGUAUCAAUGUUCAAAAGCUGCUUGAACAGCCCUUGCAGUGUGUGCCACUUCAUAGUGUAACGCUGCUGUAUCUACUUUGGUUUAAGGGUAUGAGCAAGGUCAGGUUUGUGGGAAGAAACAACAUUUUGUUAGGUUGCGUGGUGUAACUGGGUCUGGGGGAUGGAUAAAGUUUGGCCCCAAUUUGAUAAGUGAAGGUAUAAUAGUGCUGGCUUGUGGUAAUGUUCAUAGAAAGGCACUAACCAAAUUGGUACUACCAUGUGGGACAAACAACAUGAAAAGAAAGUUUUUAUCUUUAGGAAGGUAUAGAUUUUCUAAAGCCCAGCAUCUGCACUGAUAAUGGUCUUUUUGUAUAAUUCCAAACCCAACUUGCUUUCUCAAUAGGAAUGUUUUUUGAAGUGCACUAGAAAGCAGUACGCAUCGGCUUUGAUGUGACGGGGUUGCUGAUCUCAGGGAUGGGCUACAUGUCUGUGUUUCACAGCAAACGUGCAGGACUUUUGAAAUGAUCGGUUUUGUUUUCUGUGUAUGAAGUGGUCAGUAGUCUGAAAACUAGCUAUGUUUUUUUUUUCUAACCUUCGAUCCAAAAGUAUUACCAGUGUGGUGCAUUAAAUAAUGUAAUUUGAUAGAAGCCAGGUAAGAGCUAGCUGCAGGUGAAAGGGAGGGCCUGUGGUCUGCCCCAGCUUUGCACACCUGUUUGAGCACAGCCAUGCAUCUGGCUCCCAGGUGGACCAGUUCAUGGUGUGAAACUGUCAGGUUUGUAGAAAAAAGUGUUUUGUUCUCUCACUUUGCCUCUUGAAGCUGGUGUUUGUGGGUUUUAGCUGUUUGCCAAGAGGAGCUCUUAGGGUGGAGGAGAGGGGAGCUGGGCUUGGCUACUAGUGGCUUUUGGGAAGACUUAAUCGCUUCUUAGGAAAGACCCAAACCAGCAGUGGUUCUGUAUGGUAAUUUUAAGUUAACACAGGCUGUAAAGCCAGGUGAUGUUUUAUUCCUGCUAGCUAUAUCUGCUGAGUGGUUCAGUGUAUGUAUCAGGUCCUCUAAGUAAUAUUCAUACCUUGUGGGAUUUUCUGUGAAGUGUUUGGAGGUUUGCUGUUUUCUAAAGAGAGGAGACAUGACUUUGCUAUAGACAUGUAUUAAAUUUGGUUGUGUUAUGGAGAUCCUUGGUUAGUUUCUAAGUUGUUAUGUUCAAGUAAUCUCAGAGCAAAGAGAAUGGUUACCUGUUCAGUGGAAACUGAUAGGUGGAAUGACAGUCUCGGGGAGGGAAGGAAAGAAAGCUGUCUCUUAGACUUACGUAUUCUACCAUUUCCUACUGUAACUUACUCUGUAACUGUAACCUACCGUCCAUGAUGAAUAAAUGUCUUAUGCGCUAAUUAUCUUCGUUAAACUUAAAAACCUGGAGGUUGUUCAGAUUGAAAUCUGUGUAAUUCUGCACACUCUCUCUUCCCAGUAAACCAUUGCUUUCCUGUCUGCCCUGGCCCUCGGAGCUUUCCUGAGCAUCAGCAAACUAGAAGUGACCCCAUUCUGCCUCCCUUGGCAUUUGGAGAGCAGCAACAAAGUGGCAGCCCUUUGGAAAGUAAUUCAUAUAAGAAUAGAGGACGACAAGAAAACUACAAUGGACUUUGUUCAAAGCUUUUAUUUGCCAGGAGUCCAAGAAGUUGUGGCAGAGAGAAGGCAUCAGCCAACAUCGUCACACAGAGUGCCAGAGAGCAGCUGUUAUUUGCCGUUAGAUUUGAGCCUGCAACUACAUCCAAUUUGGAAUAUUGAAUAAGACAGCAGACACAUAUCUACAAGCAACUUCAUGCUGCCAAGGGCCCAGUAGACCUUGGUGGUGACUGGCAGUCUGGAGACAUAAUGAAGAAGCAGGGUCGAUGGGGUUCCAUGUCACUGGUGACCUCCAAAAAGAUUUGUGUGCUGGCUCUGCCAGCAGCAGUUCUCUGAUCAGUGUGAAUGCUGGAGAGAGAUUUGGUAAACAAAACCCACUUAACCUUGUUGCCGUGUUGGACAAUACCUGUGUCGCUGCUAGAAUCCACCCAGUUUGCAGAUGCAAGAAGAGCAAGCUUGUCUAAGCUACAUCAGUGUCUCACUUCAGCAGGAAGUGAAUGGAAACUAGUGUACCUGCGGAAAGCAGACUGGAGAUACUGGGUCUGAACUUCAGUUGUACUUAAACCUCUGAAGCAUGUUUCCCUUUUUAAAUGUUUGGUCUCCUUUCUUCCACUGGCUGCUGAAACAUCUCACUGUGAAGUGCAGUUGUGAAUGGCCCAACUCCUGCAUCCUGUGUAGCUGCAAAGGCUCUGUCCAGACAACGCCAUGUCCUUGGAAGAGCACAUAGCCCUCCUGGACUCUGGCUGCCACCACAUACUCCCUUUUUCUCAAGGCAAGCCUCUCCACUUGCACUUUGAAACCUUAUUAUGAGAGGACAGAUUGCACAGACUGCUGAGCCAUGAACUCAAGACUCUGAAGAUGUCCCAUUUUGGAAAGAAACAAGAUCCAGCUACUGGCACGUUCCCAAAGUUACACUCUUUGCUCCUACUUGCCUCCUCAGGUUCAUUGUUUGAUGGGAGAAAGCAGCCUGAAGGAACAGCCGGUCACAGCUCUCCUGCUCCCAGUCCUCAGACACAUAAAUACAGUUCUUCAUACCGCCCACUGUCCUUGUACCCAAAGACCCCUUCGGCCACUUCUGCCAGCUGAAUCGCUUUCACUGGCAGCUCAGCCAUGCUGGAGGAUAGCAGAACUUGAGGAACUGGAGCCUUUCAACUAAGCGGACUCUGAGGUCUUCCAACAAAGCAGACAGCUGAUGGGCUGGGCAGCCUCAGACAGCAUCUCCUGUUACGGAAUUCAAUUGCUUUCAUCUGUGUGUGCACUCUUCUACUGGCUUGCACAGCCCUGAGACUUGCAACAGUUUGUGGUCCCUCUCCAUACACAGUAGGACAAGAAUGGCGCUGUCCUGCAGUGAAGGUACCAGAUCUUCCCUGGAAAUGCUUGAUGAAGCAGUACAGAAUGUACAGCCUUGGGAGCCUUGCAUGUUUCCACUUUCAGAUUCUGCAUACCUACCAAGGUCUUCUCCAGCACUAGAAUGACGAUGGCCAUGACCAGGCUGCCUUUCAGCCCUGGGUCCCUGGCAGUAAGCAGGGCAUCAGGCUUGCCUCUGUGGCACUGUCAUACCCAGCUUCACAGGGAUGUGGUUUUCAGACACACAUCUGCAAGUAGACAGCAGUAGAAGUUUCAAAGAGUUUGUGGUCUGGCACUGCAACCCAGAGAAGCUCAUCAACCAUGAUAAACCUGACCUGUGGCGUGUAUGAAGUUAGCUACGCAUGCUGUGGUGUCAAAAGGCUGUCCGCUGGACUGGUGCAGCGGAGCACCAGGAGUGUGGCACUGCCAGGUGUCAGACCUCAUUUCAGCAGCAGAUGAGGAGAUUUCUGGAUCAGGAGGGGUUUAGGCACCUGAUGGAGUUGUGGUGCCAAAGGAUAGUGCUUUUUAGCAAGACCAAUUUCUUGUCAGGUCUGCAAAAUGAGGUUCAGCUGCCUUGUCACAAGAAGGUUAAGUGCUGCCACAGACAGAGUAAUGCUGGGUAAUACAGAGAGGAAGGGAGACAUGGGUAAAAGGAAUACCAACAGUAGAAAGAAAACAGCAUUUUUCAGUCUUGACCUUUACAAAAGUGCCUACCAGGUGAGUACUGGGUCCUUCAGUGGCUAGAAGUAGGUUUCAAGGUGGUGCUUGCUCACUCCCAGAUCAAUUUCCAAACACUGCAGAGGUCUGAGGAAGACUUGUGAUUUUGAUAUGAACCAGAGACCUGGUGAGGAAGAAGGAAGGAGAAAGCUGCAUGGUAACUGCAGCUUUGAAAAAUUAAUCUCAAGUACAUGAAAGUCAGGUUCCCCUUGCCCUGCAUAAUUGAAGUUUUGUAACUGCUUCCUUCAAAAAACUGCAGCUCCAUGUCAUAACACGCAAUUGUCUUGCACUACCCUAUCUGUAACAACAUUGCUGUAACAAAAUUGAUACAGUUUGCUGACUUUGUAUCUUUUUAGAUAAGUUUGCUCCUUGGAAUGAAGACAUUGUCUCAGGGAUUGUGGUAACAAGCCACUGGGAAGCCAUACAGCUGAGAAAAACCUGCAUUCUGUGAAAGGGACCUCUAGCUGGUGGCUGUUUGAAGGUGAGCAGGGUGGUGAGGUGUUUUCAGGGAAGGAGCUUCAAACCAGAUUGCCCUGAUUACAUGUCCCAACUACAUGUAUCAGAACUAAUACUGCUAAUAAGGGUAACUUGAAUCUGUAUGAAGGUGACCAUGAGCCAUGUUCCAGCCUUGACUAAAACUUCUCACUUGAAAAUAAUUAACUUGCACAAAAGAUGGUUUUUUCACAUUCUAGAGCAGAAAGAAAAAUAACAUUCUUACUACCAGUUCAUUAGGGAGUAUACUAACUUCACUGUCUUUCAAAACUGUCUUUGAAGUUUGGAUUUCUGAUUGUUUGGUUGCUUUUGUCAUUCUCCAGAAGCAUUCUUUUUUGCAGUUAUCUGUUUCUGAGUUAGAGUGUUCAGGGAGAAUACUUGCAACCUAUAGCAAGGCCACAGAUGUUUUUGUAUGAGGAUUGUGAUUUUGAUGAAGAGCUUUUUGGCACUCUGAUAAUGUUUGAUAAAUUGGCAGUAAAAUGUCCAGGUAUUGCCUGGUUACGUUCCAUAAAGUAAAUGGCACGAUUUGGUGAUGCCCUGUGCUGAGGAGCUGGAUGACUCGGGGGUUGCCAUUCACUGUUGCAGUGGUGCUCCCUUGCGCUGCCCGAAGUCUGGAAACCUGUGAGCUGGGGGCAAUUGAUCUCAUUUGUACCAAAGUGUGUUCAGAUGGAGUGAAACCAUGGAGAGUUCAAAUAGCAAACAAAAAGCUGCAGAGUGAAGUGGGGCACUGCUAUACCUUGGUGCAGGUUUCUGUUACUGGUUGUGUGGACCAAGGACUUUGCUGCUGCUUCCUUUUGGUUUGAAAAAUAUGGAAAUUGGUGAAGCCCCCAACUUCCAUUACUAUUUUUUUUUUCUGGAGUUGAAUAUAGGAGGGAAUUAUGGAAAUGUACUGAAUUUUCUUUACUAAAAUUUGUUGUAUUUCAUAAUUAUAUACAGGGCGGGUUGCCUGUUGCUUUUUUGAAUUUUUGUGUUUUGAAUGGUUGGAUUCACAAAUCAUUAGUAGAGACUCAGCAAAGCUAAAUGUUUUUAAGGAGAUGUGGGGAAAAUUGCUUCCUAGUGAUUCAUUCCAUUGCAUUAGAUAUGAUUAUGAAAAGAUAAAUAAAACUUCUGAAUUUACCUAGCA